UACGUAGGGACCGAGCGUUGUCCGGAUUCAUUGGGCGUAAAGAGCUCGUAGGCGGCUGUUCAAGUCGAACGUGAAAACUCGGAGCUCAACUCCGAGCCUGCGUUCGAUACUGGACGGCUAGAGUCUGGUAGGGGGAUCUGGAAUUCCUGGUGUAGCGGUGAAAUGCGUAGAUAUCAGGAGGAACACCUGCGGUGUAGACGGCUUACUGGACCGUAACUGACGCUGAGGCACGAAAGCGUGGGUAGCAAACAGG
rnacentral:rRNA from 1 species